UACGAAGGGGGCUAGCGUUGCUCGGAAUCACUGGGCGUAAAGGGUGCGUAGGCGGGUCUUUUAAGUCAGGGGUGAAAUCCUGGAGCUCAACUCCAGAACUGCCUUUGAUACUGAAGAUCUUGAGUUCGGGAGAGGUGAGUGGAACUGCGAGUGUAGAGGUGAAAUUCGUAGAUAUUCGCAAGAACACCAGUGGCGAAGGCGGCUCACUGGCCCGAUACUGACGCUGAGGCACGAAAGCGUGGGGGAGCAAACAG
rnacentral:rRNA from 1 species